rnacentral:rRNA from 1 species
AUACGUAGGGGGCGAGCGUUGUCCGGAAUGAUUGGGCGUAAAGGGCGCGUAGGCGGCGCGGUAAGUCUGGAGUGAAAGUCCUGCUUUCAAGGUGGGAAUUGCUUUGGAUACUGCCGCGCUUGAGUGCAGGAGAGGUUAUCGGAAUUCCCGGGGUAGCGGUGAAAUGCGUAGAGAUCGGGAGGAACACCAGUGGCGAAGGCGGGUAACUGGACCGCAACUGACACUGAGGCGCGAAAGUGUGGGGAGCAAACAGGAUUAGAUACCCUGGUAGUCCACACUGUAAACGAUGAAUGCUAGGUGUAAGAGGUAUCGACCCCUUUUGUGCCGGAGUCAACACAAUAAGCAUUCCGCCUGGGAGUACGGCCGCAAGGUUGAAACUCAAAGGAAUUGACGGGG